UUUCCGUAGGUGAACCUGCGGAAGGAUCAUUCAUAAUAAGUGUUUUAUGGCACUUUUUUAAAUCCAUAUCCACCUUGUGUGCAAUGUCAGGGUUGAUUUUUCUCUCGAGAGGAUCAGCCCCAAACGUCAACUAUAUCUCAACUCUUUGUCUGAAAAAUAUUAUGAAUAAACAAUUCAAAAUACAACUUUCAACAACGGAUCUCUUGGCUCUC
rnacentral:misc_RNA from 1 species